rnacentral:rRNA from 1 species
UACGUAGGGUGCAAGCGUUGUCCGGAAUUAUUGGGCGUAAAGAGCUCGUAGGCGGUCUGUCGCGUCUGCUGUGAAAACUCAGGGCUUAACCCUGAGCUUGCAGUGGGUACGGGCAGACUAGAGUGCGCUAGGGGAGACUGGAAUUCCUGGUGUAGCGGUGAAAUGCGCAGAUAUCAGGAGGAACACCGGUGGCGAAGGCGGGUCUCUGGGCCGUAACUGACGCUGAGGAGCGAAAGCAUGGGGAGCGAACAGG